GACGAACGCUGGCGGCGUGCUUAACACAUGCAAGUCGAACGGAAAGGCCCUGCUUUUGUUGGGUGCUCGAGUGGCGAACGGGUGAGUAACACGUGAGUAGCCUGCCCUUGACUUUGGGAUAACUUCAGGAAACUGGGGCUAAUACCGGUUAGUAGCUCCUGCUGCAUGGUGGGUGUUGGAACGUUUCGGCGGUUGGGGAUGGACUCGCGGCUUAUCAGCUUGUUGGUUGGGUAGUGGCUUACCAAGGCUUUUUCGGGUAGCCGGCCUGAGAGGGUGACCGGCCAAAGUGGGAGAGAGAUACGGCCCAGACUCCUACGGGAGGCAGCAGUGGGGAAUAUUGCACGAUGGGCGGAAGCCGGAUGCAGCAACGCCGCGUGCGGGAUGAUGGCCUUCGGGUUGUAAACCGCUUUCGCCUGUGACGAAGCGUGAGUGACGGUAAUGGGUAAAGAAGCACCGGCUAACUACGUG
rnacentral:rRNA from 1 species